rnacentral:lncRNA from 1 species
GUUUAAAUUCGGCAUCAGAAUAGUUUACUUUAACCAUCUGUGCACGAAUGUAUCUAAGGCUCUCUAGUGCGCCUAAAGUCGUUUCGCAGUGCUUUGUUGACGUUAUAUCAGUUCUAGCGCGUAAAUGUUUUAAGGAAAAAAAGUGCUGGAAAUCGGUGUCUCCGUAAUGACGGAUCUAAAUAGUCUUACCUACACCUGGUAAAAAGUUAGCACGACGUACGCGCCCGCUGCUCUGUCUCCGUGCCUCAGCUGCCUGCUGAAGCGCUCUCUCAACCAGCGCUCACGACAGACACAAACCUCCGGCCCUCUCUACCACUCCCUGAGUAACAGCCUGCUCACUGCCUGAUCGGCAACAGCACCACGUAACACUUCAAUAGACAAAUGCCAUGGCGGCCGCGGUGCAAUUUAGAAGUUACAUAUACGUUUAGCAAUGUACCACGUGACUUCUUACUAAUACAUUUAUUGUUUUAGAUGCAUUAUAAAGUAUGUUCAUCUGUAUUUUUAUAUAAUAUUUUGGCUGGUAAAAAGUCUUGAGUGACUAGAAGAUUUUUUCAUCUACCUGAGAGUGGCUAGCGGACCAAGAAGUACAUUAGUCCCUAAUGUUAACAUUGUCCAUGUAUUACAAUGAGAGACACUGUCUGUCUAACCAGUAAUAAAUAACACAUACAGAAUGUGGCAAAACCCAUAGCCUGCCCAACACGUUAAAAAUAUCCUGUUGUUUUUACAGUCACUUAUUGGCAACUGUAAGUUCUUGUAAAAAACAACAACUGUACAUUACUAUGAAGUUUACAGUAAUGUAAACCAAUGUUUCUUUGAAAUUUACAGUAACAUACUCUACUUAUUUUAAUUGUUUUACAUUGACUUACAGUCUGCCAGUAUAUUACCAGUACAGGCUGCCAGUAUAUUACCAGUACAGGCUGCCAGUAUAUUACCAGUACAGGCUGCCAGUAAAUUACCAGUACAGGCUGCCAGUAAAUUACCAUAAAAAAACUGGAUUUAAAAAAAAAGAAUUACAGUGUACCCAUAACCUUUCACAUCCCUCUUUUUCUUGAGGACAACAAUGCUUGUUGUAUACCUUUACUAUACAAUUCCUUCAAUUAAUAUUGUAUUAUAUUCUAUUUGCAAGAUCUAAUUGUAGCAAGCCUGGUCCCUGAUUUUUCUGCUCUUGCCAUUUGCAUUGCUGUCAUUGUCAAGCCAAACAUGUUCGGUAUGAAAAAUUCAUAAGGAACUGACAAGAGAGCAAAAGCAGACUGCCACCCAGGCUACCUUGGGACUAGCCAGACUCAGGAAAUUACAAAGAAACUGCACAAUGUCUCUCUGACAGUGUAAGAGGAUAAGAUAAGGAUAUUAUACCCAUGACCACUGUGUUAAGGACCCAUGACCAGUGUGUUAAGGACCCAUGACCACUGUGUUAAGGACCCAUGACCACUGUGUUAAGGACCCAGAUGCAUGACCAGUGUGUUAAGGACCCAUGACCAGUGUGUUAAGGACCCAUGACCAUUGUGUUAAGGACCCAGACCCAUGACCACUGUGUUAAGGACCCAGACCCAUGACCACUGUGUUAAGGACCCAUGACCAGUGUGUUAAGGACCCAUGACCAGUGUGUUAAGGACCCAUUACCACUGUGUUAAGGACCCAUGACCAGUGUGUUAAGGACCCAUUACCACUGUGUUAAGGACCCAGACCUGUUAAGGACCCAUGACCAGUGUGUUAAGGACCCAUGACCACUGUGUUAAGGACCCAGACCUGUUAAGGACCCAUGACCAGUGUGUUAAGGACCCAUGACCAGUGUGUUAAGGACCCAUG